GGUUAAGUGACUAAGCGUGCACGGUGGAUGCCUUGGCAAUUGGAGGCGAUGAAGGACGUGUUAAUCUGCGAUAAGCUUGGUCAAGCCGAUAAAAGGCGCAUGAGACCAAGAUUUCCGAAUGGGGCAACCCACUCUUUAUAGAGUAUCUUACAGUGAAUACAUAGCUGUAAGAAGCAAACCCGGAGAACUGAAACAUCUAAGUACCCGGAGGAACAGAAAUCAACCGAGAUUCCGUUAGUAGCGGCGAGCGAAAGCGGAACAGCCGAUAUCAUAAAGUUCAGCAGAACAUUCUGGAAAGUUUGACCAUAGUAGGUGAUAGUCCUGUAUGCGAAAAACGUUAUGAUACAUAUUAAGUAGGUCGGGACACGUGUUAUCUUGACUGAAUAUGGGGGGACCAUCCUCCAAGGCUAAAUACUCCCAAUUGACCGAUAGUGAACCAGUACCGUGAGGGAAAGGCGAAAAGAACCCCUGUAAGGGGAGUGAAAUAGAACCUGAAACCGUGUACGUACAAGCAGUGGGAGCAGACUUGUUCUGUGACUGCGUACCUUUUGUAUAAUGGGUCAGCGACUUAUAUUUUGUAGCGAGGUUAACCGAAUUGGGGAGCCGUAGCGAAAGCGAGUGUUAACUGCGCGUUGAGUUGCAAGGUAUAGACCCGAAACCCGGCGAUCUACCCAUGGGCAGGUUGAAGGUUGAGUAACAUCAACUGGAGGACCGAACUCACUAAUGUUGAAAAAUUAGGAGAUGACCUGUGGGUCGGAGUGAAAGGCUAAUCAAGCCGGGAGAUAGCUGGUUCUCCCCGAAAGCUAUUUAGGUAGCGCCUCGGACGAAUACCACUGGGGGUAGAGCACUGUUAAGGCUAGGGGGUCAUCCCGACUUACCAACCCUUUGCAAACUCCGAAUACCAGUGAGUACUAUCCGGGAGACACACGGCGGGUGCUAACGUCCGUCGUGAAGAGGGCAACAACCCAGACCGCCAGCUAAGGUCCCAAAUACUAAUUAAGUGGGAAACGAUGUGGGAAGGCUUAGACAGCUAGGAGGUUGGCUUAGAAGCAGCCACCCUUUAAAGAAAGCGUAAUAGCUCACUAGUCGAGUCGGCCUGCGCGGAAGAUGUAACGGGGCUAAAUUAGUAACCGAAGCUGCGGAUUUAAUCUUAGGAUUAAGUGGUAGGGGAGCGUUCUGUAAGCUGUUGAAGGUGUGUUGUAAAGCAUGCUGGAGGUAUCAGAAGUGCGAAUGCUGACAUCGAGAGGUAUGCUGGAGGUAUCAGAAGUGCGAAUGCUGACAUGAGUAACGAUAAAGCGGGUGAAAAACCCGCUCGCCGAAAGACCAAGGUUUCCUGUCCCAUGCUAAUCAGGGCAGGGUAAGUCGGCCCCUAAGGCGAGGCAGAGAUGCGUAGUCGAUGGGAAACAGGUUAAUAUUCCUGUACUUUUAUUAACUGCGAUGGAGAGACGGAGAAGGCUAAACUAGCUUGGCGUUGGUUGUCCAAGUGAAAGUAAGUAGGCUGAAGAAUUAGGUAAAUCCGGUUCUUCUUAAGGCUGAGAUACGAGACGAGCUACCAAGGUAGCGAAGUAGUUGAUGCCCGGCUUCCAGGAAAAUCUUCUAAGCGAUAGGUUAAUAAGAACCGUACCCGAAACCGACACAGGUGGUCAGGUAGAGAAUACUAAGGCGCUUGAGAGAACCCGGGUGAAGGAACUAGGCAAAAUAGUACCGUAACUUCGGGAGAAGGUACGCCACGUUAUUGUGAAGGGCUUUACGCCUGGAGCGAGAGGUGGUCGAAGUAACCAGGUGGCUGGAACUGUUUAUUAAAAACACAGCACUGUGCAAAAUCGAAAGAUGACGUAUACGGUGUGACACCUGCCCGGUGCCGGAAGGUUAAUUGAUGGGGUUAUCCUUAGGGAGAAGCUCUUGAUCGAAGCCCCGGUAAACGGCGGCCGUAACUAUAACGGUCCUAAGGUAGCGAAAUUCCUUGUCGGGUAAGUUCCGACCUGCACGAAUGGUGUAAUCAUGGCCACGCUGUCUCCACCCGGGACUCAGUGAAAUUGAACUUGCUGUGAAGAUGCAGUGUACCCGCGGCUAGACGGAAAGACCCCGUGAACCUUUACUAUAGCUUGGCAGUGAACAUUGAACCUACAUGUGUAGGAUAGGUGGGAGGCUUUGAAGCAGCGUCGCUAGAUGUUGUGGAGCCGACCUUGAAAUACCACCCUUGUAUGUUUGAUGUUCUAACUUAGGUCCCUAAUCGGGAUUGAGGACAUUGCCUGGUGGGUAGUUUGACUGGGGCGGUCUCCUCCCAAAGCGUAACGGAGGAGCACGAAGGUUGGCUAAGUACGGUCGGACAUCGUACGGUUAGUGCAAUGGCAUAAGCCAGCUUAACUGCGAGACAGACACGUCGAGCAGGUGCGAAAGCAGGUCAUAGUGAUCCGGUGGUUCUGAAUGGAAGGGCCAUCGCUCAACGGAUAAAAGGUACUCCGGGGAUAACAGGCUGAUACCGCCCAAGAGUUCAUAUCGACGGCGGUGUUUGGCACCUCGAUGUCGGCUCAUCACAUCCUGGGGCUGAAGUCGGUCCCAAGGGUAUGGCUGUUCGCCAUUUAAAGUGGUACGCGAGCUGGGUUUAGAACGUCGUGAGACAGUUCGGUCCCUAUCUGCCGUGGGCGUUUGAGAAUUGAGGGGGGCUUCUCCUAGUACGAGAGGACCGGAGUGGACGAACCUCUGGUGUUCCGGUUGUUCUGCCAAGAGCAUUGCCGGGUAGCUAAGUUCGGAAUCGAUAACCGCUGAAAGCAUCUAAGCGGGAAGCGAGCCCCGAGAUGAGUUGUCACAGACCCUUGAGGUCCUGUAGGGCCCUUGUAGACUACGAGGUUGAUAGGUUGGGUGUGUAAGUGCUGUGAGGCAUUGAGCUAACCAAUACUAAUUGCCCGUGCGGCUUAACCAU
rfam:Catenovulum agarivorans DS-2 contig69, whole genome shotgun sequence.